GACGAACGCUGGCGGCGUGCUUAACACAUGCAAGUCGAACGGAAAGGCCCUGCUUUUGUGGGGUGCUCGAGUGGCGAACGGGUGAGUAACACGUGAGUAACCUGCCCUUGACUUUGGGAUAACUUCAGGAAACUGGGGCUAAUACCGGAUAGGAGCUCCUGCUGCAUGGUGGGGGUUGGAAAGUUUCGGCGGUUGGGGAUGGACUCCCGGGUUAUCAGCUUGUUGGUGGGGUAGUGGCUUACCAAGGCUUUGACGGGUAGCCGGCCUGAGAGGGUGACCGGCCACAUUGGGACUGAGAUACGGCCCAGACUCCUACGGGAGGCAGCAGUGGGGAAUAUUGCACAAUGGGCGGAAGCCUGAUGCAGCAACGCCGCGUGCGGGAUGACGGCCUUCGGGUUGUAAACCGCUUUCGCCUGUGACGAAGCGUGAGUGACGGUAAUGGGUAAAGAAGCACCGGCUAACUACGUG
rnacentral:rRNA from 1 species